rnacentral:tRNA from 1 species
GCCGGCGUAGUUUAAUGGUAAAACAAAGGACUCAUAAGCCUUGGAAGAUGGUCCGAUUCCAUCCGUCGGCA